GCUACGGUAGCCUAGUGGUCAGUGCGUCCGCCUUAGAUGCGGGAGGUCGUGGGUUCAAUCCCCUGUUGAGUCAUACCA